GGAAGGUUGGCGGAGUGGUUGAACGCGGCGGUCUUGAAAACCGUUGAGGAUGCAAGUCCUCCGGGGGUUCGAAUCCCUCACCUUCCGCCA
rnacentral:tRNA from 1 species